rnacentral:lncRNA from 1 species
CAGGGGAUUGCAGUGGCAAAGCUAGGCUAGGUCUUGGAGGCUGGUGUAAGGCGAAGCGGGUGAAGGCAGGAGGCUGAUGGAGAGACUGGGGGGAAGAAAAGCCGAAAUGGAUUCACGGUGCCUUGGAUGGAGGACGAGAGGGGAACUGCAGGCUCCUUCAACUCGUUCUGUCCGGUGAGAAGUGAUCAAGCUUGGGCUGACAAGAGGCUCAGGGAGUCCUCACGUUCUUUCGCUUUUUUACCUGCCAAUCAAACUGCUACAAGACAACACCCUGAUCUGGCAUGGACAUGUAAGUAGCUUGCAACCCAACUUUGACAUUCACUGCUAGCUCACUCCUCUCCGCCCACCCCCCCAACUCACUUUCUUCCCCUCUCAUUCUUUUUUUUUUCUUUUGACCUUUAAGAGAUCUGGAAAUACACCCUGUGUAACAGUCAUUUAACACAGACAGAUUUAAGUCUGAAAGCGUUAACUUUUGGAAUUAAAUGCUAAUUGUGAUUUCUUUAACAAAUGCAGAAGUGAAGACAUUAUUUUAUUCUCUUCUGAACAGUUUUAGUGCUGAACAUAAUCAGUUGCCUGGCAAGGGUGUGUGUUUCUUUUUCCUUUGAAAAUAAAGAAACCCGUGAGCCCCCAGAGAGAGAUGCAGAAAUGAAAAACUCAGGCUUCCAUCUUAAAAAUGUCAAAUGCUAGCAUCUCAUCCCUACAAACACACACACACACACACACACACACACACAGAGAAAAACCAAACCAAAACAAAACCAAAACCAAAACCAAACAAAAAAACACCCUUCUCCAGACCAAGGUCACACAGAAUGGAAAGAGUGAUUUGAACCAAAAGGUACAUAUCAUUAAGGGGUUGCUACUCUUUGAUCUGGCGUCUUACUAUUUUGGUGGUGGUUGGGGUGGGGGUGUGAAAAAAGAGAAGGAAGAGGACAUGGCGAUACCUCAUUCUUUAUGAGAGACUGACAUUGAAGGGGCUAGAGAUACAAGAGGACAGGAGAAGCAGGAAAUAUUACCUGAGAGAAGGAAUCACAGAGCAUGGCGGAGCUGGAAGCUAGGAGGGCUUCGGUGGGAAGUUGUGCGAGAGGUGAUGGGGCUUGCUCUCUGGCGCCCUCUAAUGGCAAUCGGAACCAAUGUUUUACUUUCUUAAUUCAGUACUAGGAAAAGCAGCUGGGUUUUUGUUGUUGCUGUUGGUGGUUUUUCUCCGCAGGCUUAGAAACUAGAUACUAUUAGUGGAGUAAAUUGAUUGUUUUCAUCCCAGAAACUUAUGUAUAUGCCUUAAAAUUAUCAAUGUUUUCUCCUCAAACAUCCCCCCCCUCCCCAAAUUUUGUUAGACUAAUAGAGGAGGAAAGGGGUAAUGGCAGAUUGACUUAUUGAGGGUGGCCCAAACCCAAUUAGUAAUUCGCAGAAAGGGAUUCCUUUCCUACCUGAACAGCAUUCUGACUCUUCUAAUAUGUUGGAGAGGUCUUGGGGGCUGAGGUGGGGAGGGAUGAUUUGGAAAUUGCAGAUUCUGACACAGGCUCAUUAGAACACAAUUUAAGGGGGCCUCUUAGGAACCUCUGUUAUUGCGACAUGUGGUGGUCAGGGGGCUUUCCUUCCCGCCUCCUUUUUCUUUUUUCUUUUUCUUCUUUCUUUCGUUCUUUUUUUUUUUUUUUCCUUAAAUUUGGUAGAUAAAGGUUAAUCUUGGGCUGAAUGAUAGAGCUAUGAUUGACAAGAGAAAAGGUGUUGAGGGCAGGUCGCGCUGUCUUAUUUACAGCCCACUGCUUGCUGUAGAGUCUUUGUUAGGACUGGAAAGCUAAUUUAGUGCUGAUCAAAAGCACCACAGAGUUAAAGGACUGGUAAUGACUGCUAAUUUCAUUUCAGCCUCAUGCAUCCCCAACUGCUGUAAUUAAAGACACGCUAUUUAAAUACAGGUGAAGGUUUUUUUUUUUUUUUUUAAGUUAGGGUGGGGGUGGGUGGAUUACAAUAUUAUUUAGAUUUCAUCUUCUACAUGGGUGUUAUGUAGUCCAACAUCAGCUUUUUUAAAGAGCCGCUUCUUGUCAUUUAUACCUGGCUUUGCAGAAUCGGCAGUGUGAAAUAUGUCAAUCACACAAAAGCCCCUAUUUAAAGAAAAAAAAAAGCAGGAUGCAGAACAGUAAAUGUUUAGGGGGGUAUUUAAAUAUUUGGGUCUCUUUUAUUUUUCCCCUUCAAAUUAAUGGAAGGGCCUUCGAAAUAGCUAAAGUAUUUGAAACUUAGGGCAGGGUUAACAGGCCAAAGGGAUCAGUGUCAGCUUUUUAAGUACUUCUAAAAAGAUCAUGUGAACAGAUGGAAAAAUAUAUUUUUAAUUAAAUAAUUUCCCCCACACCGUAGCUGCAGUGUUGGCUCAGAAACCGUGUAAUUCCUCAACCGAUAGGAGUUUCUUUAUAAGAACAUCAAAGGAUAAAAAGCUCUACAUUUUCGUAGUUGGUUAAAAUUGAUAACCCCCCCCCCCCCCCACACACACACACCCAAAAAAAGAAUUUAGCCUUUAAUCUCUUUUUAUCCACGAAGACUAAAGCUCUGUACUCGACCCCGCGAGCGGCUCUCGCCUUCCGGGGCUGGAACCCGGCUCAGAUGUGAAGCGGCGCUGAGCCGCCGCGCAGGUUCGUGACCAGCGCCCCCUGUUGGACACAGUAGGAGAUGCACAGCGCCAGUCCUGGAAAUCGCGAGAACCUUGCUCUGGGGUUAGAUAAAACUCUUUAUUACCCUCCAAAAAGGAGAUGGGGCGAGGAAACAAGUUUUUAUAUCCUUGAAAGAUAGUAUAAUUUAAUUCAAUAAAAAAUAAAAAGGAGUUAACACAAUUUCAAUCCAAUCAAAAAUGAAGACUAACCUAUUCCUCUUUCUCACAUUGCAGCCACCCCCUACCCCCGUUUGGGUUUGGGACUCUUUUCAGAUUAUGAGAUAGUAAAACAGGUGGAGAAGCUUGAUAUAAAACAAAGGGAACUUUCUUUUGUAGCUAUGGAGAACCAAGCAAAUUACUUCUCCCGUUCUGUACACAUUUACAAAAAUAAAACGGAAGAGGCUACUGCUUGCUGCUUUGACGUUGUCAGCAGCAUCUUGAAUGCCCUCGGAGGUCCUUCAAGAAUUGUAACUGAGUCCCUGACUAAACGAAAUAACUUGCUCGUUUUUAUUUGUUUAUUUUCAGAGUGUAAUUAAGAGGCCAGUCUCUGCUUUGAAUGUUUCCCAUCCCCCAAAGCAAUCUUGAUCAAACUUUUCCUUUCCGGACUAGCGGUUAAAUUCCAGAUAUUGUUUAAGAAACAGGUGCCUGACACCUUUCUUCUUUUAUCUCAGCAUCUCAGCCGUAGGAUUUCAGGAAAGGUGUGCCAAUGGUAAAGAGUAUUUUCUUUUGAAAUUCAGCAUUUUCCUGGACCAGGAAUCCAAAUUAUCCUAGGGGGAAGAGGAGUACUUUUACAUCUCCAAAAGUAUCUGUUAACAUAAGAAAGAGCUUUGCCUUUUUCUUUGGUGAGCAAGUAAGGGUAAAAGUACACUUUGAAUUCUUUCAGAAAGAUAAACUAUAAAAAUGACAUAUCUUCUGGCAGGAAAAUAAUGGGAAAAUACGGGUUUGUUUGGGUGUUUAAAAUGAACUUGAAAACAAUUCGAGUGCUAAACGAACACCUGAUCUCAACAAGGUGUUUUAUGAUUUCGAUCUUCAGGGAUGUACUUAAAAUUUUAACUUUUAGGUAAAAACCUUAAGAUGUUUAGGACUUACUUUUUAAAAUUUUGCCUAUUGGAGGAAACCAGAUUAGUUUUCAUAACAGAAUUACUUUUUAAAAUAUUUAAUACUGUGGCCACGAGAUUUGUUUAUGUUGAUCUUACAUUGAUUCCUCCCACCUCCCCAAAUCAGCGGAUCCGAGAUUGUGUUUUCAAGGGAAUUGCUGUUCAAUGCGAUGAGAGAUGUCUUCUCCAUCUGAUUCCAGAAUCGAAUCUCAGCUUGUGUUUCUCAGUAAAUGACUUUGGAUACAGUGGCAGGAAAAGAAUCAAGGUUUUGAUCAGUUUUUACCCGGAAUCCUAUCGAAAUAACGGGCAAGCGGGAUUCCCUGCUACAGGCAACCCCACCCUUUGCUUUACCAAAAAACAAAAGCAAACAAACAAACAAAACCGAGUCCCCAUUACAGAAAUGUUAAGUCCGGGCCAGUUUGUGAACGAGGGCCAACCUCCUAAAGUACCAAACGGUGCGUGACAGCCGCGGUCCAAGGCUGCCCGUGGCGAGAGGAGGCCAAAGCCAGCAGAAUCUUGGAGGCGACCCGUGAAAGGGGAUAUAUGCCUGCUGUUCGGAAGGGAGGCAGAAUUUGCAAAACCAGAGGCCGGGAGAUUUCGACCUGGUACCGCCCCCCGGGGGGUCCCAACCUGUGGGGAGAAGCCAGGGGGAGGAGCCGCACUUGGCUGCAGGGGGGCAGUGUGUCCCCAACUUCCCAGGGCCCCAGGUGAGAGCGCAACCCCUAGUUUAGCAAAGGGAACUAAAUAAGUGGGUGGCCUAGGCCUGGGAAAGCCACCCAGCUUUCCCAGCGCAGUGUCAUUUCUGUGGUUUCAGGCGGCCUCAGCCCCUGCCGGAAUCCCACGCCCCACGGCGGCCAGGCAGCCCUUCCAUCUUGGGGGACUGGGGAGGGGACAGCGAGUGACUGACUCCUUAGAAGCAGGCAAAACCGCACGGCUGGCAACGGGGCCGCAUUUCCCUGCAGCAGCAAUGCGCCUUUUAGGGGAGGAGCGGGCAUUUGGGGUCUCUUGUCCCAGCGGCCAGGCCUGAACCCGCGCCUCUUGGCAGAGUGCCCUGCUUUAUAAGUAGUCAAUCUUGCCCGAUUCUGGGGGCGAUCCCGGAUAACGGGCCAGUCUUGCCUGAGCCCACUAACUCUGUGCCAAGUUUUCAGUCCCCUCUCCCUUCCAUACCUCAAACCGUUCUUGCUGAACCCAAGCCUGACUAUGAAAGCCAGUGUAUGUGGCUCGGAGUUUGGUAACUAUUUGGGGGUGGAGCAGAUGACUCAUUAUUAAGACCACGAUUCAAGGAUGAGCCUUCAUUCAUUAAGUUUGCUCUUUUACUUUGUUUUUAAACUUUGAAGAACCUUUAGUUCCCUUGACCCAGCCCUGAGACAGACGAAGGCACGGGCUUGAAGGAGCUGAGAUAUUGACAGAUACUCAUCUCUCUAGCACUCAAUGGGCAGAUCAACGCUGCCAGACUGUGGGUCCUAAUCCAAGGCCCAGCUGCUACGUGGGUUGCUGAAGGGUGUUGAAACCACAAGUACAACUUGACACCACUGAGCCCACGGUGCUUGUCAAUAAUCUGUGAAUUAGGUGCAGAGAUUGUCACUGUAGAUCAUAACAGUUUCUGAAGGACUCAUUACAGCCUAUCGUGUCAAUGAUCUUCAAAUUAAGGAGGGGGGCUGGGGCGGGAGAGAAAAGGAAUGGGGAGAGCCUACAAAAAAGGGAAGAAGGUUGGGAGGGGAGAUAAAAGUCAGAGUCCUAGCUCCGAAGGAGCCUUUAAAGAUUAUCAUCAGGCUAGUCAUCUGAGAAUUCCAUUGGGAUGGGUUUGGAAACCCAACUCCAUCUGAGCCAGGGCUGGAAAAGGGGCAAUAGGGAGUGAGUAGAAGUGGGCCCCUGGGAAGGCAGACUUCUCAGACAUUUCUUUUGAGGCCAGAAGAGCUUUCAGGAGAGGGCUCCAGAUGUCAAUGGGAGGCCUUGAGCAUGCCAGGCCGCCCAGGAUGGGUGCACACUUUGAUUUAGAGCACUUUCCAGGGGUAGCCACCGCUGCAACUCCGAGAAAAAGUGGGUAGUAGUUUUGUUUAGGGCUGAUGGUGUAGGUGAUUUUUUUUUUUAAUGAUUUGCUUUCAGCUUCUUUUCACACAAACAGGUGAAAGACUUCCUUCUUUUUCCUUUGAUAGUACUCCUGUCCCUCACACAUGUUAACAGAUCUAAUUUCUUUCCCCAACCUGCUUUUUGAGGUGCCAAACACCUCUGCCUUCUGCCCUUUCAAAAGUGUUGUCACUUUUUGAGUUUGUAUUAUGUCUGAUCGUACUUCUGCAAAGGGGGCUUGAAGGUAACACAGAAGCAGUGCACACGAUGAGAUCUCCAGAAGAAAGAAGACAAAUCCCAUUUCAGGAGUUUGGAAGGAACCAGACGAAGGGAGAAAUGUUCUCCCUUCUUGGUGGAUUGCCGGUGCAGUGAGUGUGAAGCUUGGCAUGCACUGGCGUUGUCAUUCAUGUACCAUUUAAUAUAGUCUAGAGAAAUCUCAAGGAAGCUUCAGUUUGUUUUCCCACAAAGGUUGUGGUCACAACUCAAUGAAAUAAUCACAGUCGGAGAAUUUAAAAUGGUGACUGUCUUUUUCCUAACAUCAGGGUAACAAUCCUAGUCACUGGAAAAUUGGGAUUCUAAGGAAUCCCUGUUCCUUUGGGAUGAUUAAUUGUGCAAGAUAGCGUGGUCAGUCAGGGAGAUAUGUAUUUAGACUCCCAAGCAAUGAUUUAGAGGUGUAACAGGGCCAUGGAUUUGUUGGGCCACUUGCAGUUCCUGGUGCUCUGUUGGCUCGGUUUUGUUUUUGUUUUUCAUUCCUGUCUUCUGAUUUUUAAAAUCAAAAUCAUAGGUUCAUUUUUUGUCAAUGUAACUGGAAAACACUGGUAGCAGUCUCUUUAAAUUCUCAGUUUGUCUUUUUUUUUUUUAAGAGAAUUUCUAUUUAAAAUAAUUAGAUCAUUUAAUGGGCACACUGCAUUUUCCCCUGGACAACAGCUGCAGUGCAGAGACAGGUCUUACGUUAAAACUACUUGACAAUUCAGAAAUGGAAAUGAAAUCGUGAAACGGGAAUCCUUUUUGCCAGAAAAUAUUUGAGCUGGGAUAUAUGUAGAAGAUACAUAUAUAUGAAAUACUCUAAGCAAUAUGAUGACUGUUAUAUAUAGCCCUGAAGACAUACACAAGUGAUUAUAUAUUACUUUUGUUGCUAUAAUUUGAAGUAAGGGAGAAAUAUAUUUGGUUUUCUUUAUAUCCUUGAAUUCUUUUUAAAAUGUAUUUAUUUCAUCAGUGGGAUUCAGAUGAAAGAGAGUGAAUAAAAAAAGGAGCUGGAUUCAGAGCAGCUCUGCAUUCCUUAGGUUUCAAGGGUCCUUACAGCCCUUGAGUGAAAUUAUUUGGUGAAAUUGGGUCUGGACUGAAAUAGCAUUUGUUAUCCCCUUGUUCAUUUGUUACGUGUAAUACCACUUCUGGAAAUUAAAGGCAAGGUGCUGAAGGGACAGACAAGAAGAAAAAAUAUAAUUAAGGAAUUUUAAAUUCCAAUCUACCAUGCAUCCAUAUGCAUAUUUAUGUCUUAGUAAAUAAAAAAGGGAUAGAGAUAUGUGCUUGCUCUGUGUAUCAUCUAGAAACAUGUAUUAUAGUUCCUGUCAAUAAUUUUUCACACUUCCAAAAUCUGACAAGUUUGGCAAUAGAAAGAAAAUGGAGGAAAUGUAGAUGAAAGAAUUUCUCUCAUUUUGAAAACUGCUUUAUAAAAAUUGCAGUAUCCCCUCUAGGAUCUCACGAGGGAUCCUUCACAGUCUAAAGCAAGUGAAGUUUGAUAACAGCACAGUUCUAUUCUAAUUUUUGCUCUUAGUUUCAAUAUCCUAACUUUUUCUGGCUUACUUAUUAUUUUUGGAAAAUAUGUGAUGCUUUUGUAAGGAAAAGAAAUUUUCUAAUGCUUUUCUUUACCUUCAUUGAUCUGUGUUUGUUUCACAUAUCUUGAAGAAUUAAGUGUUGAUCAUUCAGGAAGCCUUGUGGCACACUGCAAUUUGAGGUGAUGGAGGAACAUUUUUUUGCAACUUGGAAGAAGGAAACAUUUUUUAAAUUGGCUUAUACCAGUCUCCUGACUCUGUAAUUCUCAGUUUUCUUGAGUUACGGGAUAAAUAUCAAUAAAAUGUCAUCUUACCAGAUUGCACCAGCAUUGUCCUACAUGUUGGAAUUUUCCUCUAUUUUUGGCUUUUAAAAUCACAAACUUUUGUUGGCCUGCCGUACUUCUCUUUUUAGUUUAUAUGCCCCUUACCACACUACUGGUAUCAUCUUUUUCACUGCAGUCUGUUCAGUGCUAUGGUCGCUUUCAGUGGAAAAGGCUGGAAGGUUAGGAUCCGGAGGAAACAUAACAAAAAAAGGGAGAAAAAAGCCCUUCAUUUGGCCAAAUCUGGCUCCUAAUAUAUUUAACCACUUCCAGAAUUAGAAAGCCUUUCUGUACAUUUUAUUCUAUUUUUCUCUCUUUUUUUUUUUUUCCUUACGUAAUGAAAUUAAAACUUUUGGAGCCCACAGUUGACAUUUUUCAGAAAAUUGAGUUAUCAAGGCAGUAAUUAUUUCACGGGGAGAUAAAACUCUCAUAGCCCUAACUGUCAAAUAGGGCCCUUUUCAGAUUUUAAUUACAAAAUAAAAUUAGUCUGCUCUUCCUCGGAAUGGUUUGUGAGUGGUUAAACAGAGCUUUCCCCCCAAUACUGGUGGUCGUCAAACUCUGCUAAUUAGCAAUGCUGAGAAAUUCCAGUUAACAAGGACAUUCUCCAAGACUCUGCAGGUUCCCUGCCGUUUGCCUUCAUUUCCAUAAGAAGAUUAAGAGAGGAGGGAACACACUCAAAUGCAGAUGCAGAAAAGAAGCGUUUUUUAACAAGCAUCAUAAUAGUAAGAUGCUUGGCUAGUUCUCACCUAAUUACUGCAAGUUAAACCUCUAUUUGCCACUAAGAAGAAAAAAUAAGUCUACAGUCCCCUAUCUCCAUAAAAUUGUUAGUUGGCUUCAGAUAUAAUACUUGAGGAGGGAUGAGGGGAGUUGAGGAGAGAAAUAUCAGUGCAAAAGAUAAAACUGAGCUACACUUAAUCAGUUAAGGGUUUGGGGCUGGGGCCUAUAGUAAAACAAAAUUAAAUCAGAAUAUCCUAGGAGUUAUGCAUUUUGUUCUUAAUUUCUAAUCUUGCUCUAAAAGUAUACAGCUUUUUGCUGCCCAUGAAAGGGAAAUGUUAUACUUCCUUUAGAUUAAGCACUUUAAAUUUUCAUAAAUUGUGCCAAUGGCAACAUUUUUAAAUUCUUGAGGGAUGAAGCACCCUCUUCCAAGUCUUAUUUUGAUACCCUAGUAGUCAAUGGUGUAUUGUUACUAGUACUGUAGCCAUCUGUUAUAAACCUAAAACAGUGCUGCUUCUAUCAUCUAUUGUGAUUAUUAUAGUUAUUAUUAUAUUUAGGGGCCAGUGAUGAUGCUGGAUUGAAAUAGAGUGGCCGGUGAUCUGAUUUUUUUUUUUUUAAUGCAUAUGUUCUAAAAAAUCUAAUGAGAAAAUUGUUCCUGCUAUCACCAUCUUCUUUAAUCUUAUUUUCAUAGCACAUUAUUAUGCAUAAAUGCCAGCCACAGUUAGUUUAUUGCCUUGAUAAGUACAGCAGGCUUAAUUAAAAUAAAGCUGUAAAUAAAUGCAACCAAUGAUAACACAAUUGUAAUGUAUUUCCAUAGCUUAUUUAUAUGAUAAAAGCAAUUAACAAAAGACCUAGCCAGCCCCUUUAACCUCUUAAAUGCAUUAUUAUAGAGUUCAGGCACAAACACAUGCAUCUGAGAAUGUAUAAAAGCUUUUAUAUAUUAUCCCAAGGAAAUAUUUGUGCCUCCUACUACUACCCCUUGAGAGAGAAGAUUACAAACAUUUGCUUCUGUAACUAUCCAUUAUUAAUAUUUAUUUUAAUACACAUACACCAUUAUCCACAUCAAUCCCUUGUUUGUUUGUUUGUGUGUUUGUUUUUCUUUUCCUUCAAACUUAAUUAUCCGUAAGCUUUUUUAAAGUUUUCAGAAUAAUGCUUCUAAGUGCAGACCAAUGCAUACGCAAUCAUAAAGUGAAUGCUUGGUCUGCCCUUCGUGGCAUCUGGACAAUCAUAAUUCAUUCAUAUGUUGAAUCUCAUAAUUUGUACCUAUUUUUUCCCAAGGUUUAACCUCCUACUUAUCUGGAGGUUAUAUGCACAUUUCUAAGUUAAGCAAAUUAAAUCUGAUUCUUAUGAUUUAGUUCCAUAGCUUAUAUGAUAUGUUAACUUUUCUUUUGUUUAGAUUACGUGUAAUUAGUGGAUCUUCCUCCCAGUCCCCUCAUUUAAAAAAAAAAAAAUUAUUUCCAAACACCUUUUUUUAAAGGUAAAAGCAAAACUGUAGUCUUGGAAAAGCGAAUUCACCAGUAGGGGGCGCACCAGCUACAUCCCUAAAACCAGACGCGCUGAAAAGCCUGGUGGCUGCGGUGUUGUCUUCCGAGCCUCUAACCUUUUCUCUUCCUAAUCUCCAUGUCCGUGUUUAGCUUAAUAUUACACCUCGAAUAAACAGAAGA